rnacentral:rRNA from 1 species
GAUGAACGCUGGCGGCGUGCCUAAUACAUGCAAGUAGAACGCUGAAGGAGGAGCUUGCUCUUCUGGAUGAGUUGCGAACGGGUGAGUAACGCGUAGGUAACCUGCCUGGUAGCGGGGGAUAACUAUUGGAAACGAUAGCUAAUACCGCAUGACAACAGUUAUUGCAUGAUAACUGUUUAAAAGGGGCAACUGCUCCACUACCAGAUGGACCUGCGUUGUAUUAGCUAGUUGGUGAGGUAACGGCUCACCAAGGCGACGAUACAUAGCCGACCUGAGAGGGUGAUCGGCCACACUGGGACUGAGACACGGCCCAGACUCCUACGGGAGGCAGCAGUAGGGAAUCUUCGGCAAUGGACGGAAGUCUGACCGAGCAACGCCGCGUGAGUGAAGAAGGGUUUCGGAUCGUAAAGCUCUGUUGUAAGAGAAGAACGAGUGUGAGAGUGGAAAGUUCACACUGUGGCGGUAUCUUACCAGAAAGGGACGGCUAACUACGUG